rnacentral:rRNA from 1 species
AGUGAACGCUGGCGGUAGGCCUAACACAUGCAAGUCGAACGGCAGCACAGAGGAGCUUGCUCCUUGGGUGGCGAGUGGCGGACGGGUGAGGAAUACAUCGGAAUCUACUCUGUCGUGGGGGAUAACGUAGGGAAACUUACGCUAAUACCGCAUACGACCUACGGGUGAAAGCAGGGGACCUUCGGGCCUUGCGCGAUUGAAUGAGCCGAUGUCGGAUUAGCUAGUUGGCGGGGAAAAGGCCCACCAAGGCGACGAUCCGUAGCUGGUCUGAGAGGAUGAUCAGCCACACUGGAACUGAGACACGGUCCAGACUCCUCCGAGAGGCAGCAGUGGGGAAUAUUGGACAAUGGGCGCAAGCCUGAUCCAGCCAUACCGCGUGGGUGAAGAAGGCCUUCGGGUUGUAAAGCCCUUUUGUUGGGAAAGAAAUCCAGCUGGCUAAUACCCGGUUGGGAUGACGGUACCCAAAGAAUAAGCACCGGCUAACUUCGUGCCAGCAGCCGCCGUAA